rnacentral:rRNA from 1 species
CCUACGGGAGGCAGCAGUGGGGAAUAUUGCACAAUGGGCGCAAGCCUGAUGCAGCCAUGCCGCGUGUGUGAAGAAGGCCUUCGGGUUGUAAAGCACUUUCAGCGGGGAGGAAGGCGGUGAGGUUAAUAACCUCAUCGAUUGACGUUACCCGCAGAAGAAGCACCGGCUAACUCCGUGCCAGCAGCCGCGGUAAUACGGAGGGUGCAAGCGUUAAUCGGAAUUACUGGGCGUAAAGCGCACGCAGGCGGUCUGUCAAGUCGGAUGUGAAAUCCCCGGGCUCAACCUGGGAACUGCAUUCGAAACUGGCAGGCUAGAGUCUUGUAGAGGGGGGUAGAAUUCCAGGUGUAGCGGUGAAAUGCGUAGAGAUCUGGAGGAAUACCGGUGGCGAAGGCGGCCCCCUGGACAAAGACUGACGCUCAGGUGCGAAAGCGUGGGGAGCAAACAGGAUUAGAUACCCCUGGAGUC